rnacentral:Y_RNA from 1 species
AGCUGGUCCAAGUGCAGUGGUGUUUGCAAUAUCACAACCAGUUACAGGUUUCUUUGUUCCUUUUCCACUCCCACUGCUGCACUUGACUAGCUUAAA